AGUGGCGAACGGGUGAGUAACACGUGGGAAACCUACCUCUUAGCAGGGGAUAACAUUUGGAAACAGAUGCUAAUACCGUAUAACAAUAGCAACCGCAUGGUUGCUACUUAAAAGAUGGUUCUGCUAUCACUAAGAGAUGGUCCCGCGGUGCAUUAGUUAGUUGGUGAGGUAAUGGCUCACCAAGACGAUGAUGCAUAGCCGAGUUGAGAGACUGAUCGGCCACAAUGGGACUGAGACACGGCCCAUACUCCUACGGGAGGCAGCAGUAGGGAAUCUUCCACGAUGGGCGAAAGCCUGAUGGAGCAACGCCGCGUGUGUGAUGAAGGGUUUCGGCUCGUAAAACACUGUUGUAAGAGAAGAAUGACAUUGAGAGUAACUGUUCAAUGUGUGACGGUAUCUUACCAGAAAGGAACGGCUAAAUACGUGCCAGCAGCCGCGGUAAUACGUAUGUUCCAAGCGUUAUCCGGAUUUAUUGGGCGUAAAGCGAGCGCAGACGGUUAUUUAAGUCUGAAGUGAAAGCCCUCAGCUCAACUGAGGAAUUGCUUUGGAAACUGGAUGACUUGAGUGCAGU
rnacentral:rRNA from 1 species